AGCUUUGCGCAGUGGCAGUAUCGUAGCCAAUGAGGUUUAUCCGAGGCGCGAUUAUUGCUAAUUGAAAACUGACCCAGAAAAUGAUAGAAUUAGUACUCGUUGAAAGUUAUUAUACAUUCAAAAAG
rnacentral:snRNA from 1 species